rnacentral:tRNA from 1 species
UUCAAGGUAGUUUAUUUAAGAAUUUUGGGUUUGGAGCCUAGGGGAGUUAUUCCUUUAUU